CACACACACACACACACACACACACACACACACAGCUUAACCUUUUCGACAUUCACUGAUCAUCAAUAUUCGUUUUCCAUCAAUUAACAGCUACGAACGGAUUAGACAAACAAUAACACUAAAAACAAACACUAAAAACAUUCAUACAUAUAUACAAAAAAAAAAACAGUCUGAUUGUGUGUGUGUGUGUGUGUGUGUGUCCAUGGGUAGUGUUAUGAGCCUGGUGAUAGUUUGACAAGGCUUUGGUGGAGGUUGUGUUAGUAUGUCCAUGGGUAGUGUUAUGAGCCUGGUGAUAGUUUGACAAGGCUUUGGUGGAGGUUGUGUUAGUGUGUCCAUGGGUAGUGUUAUGAGCCUGGUGAUAGUUUGACAAGGCUUUGGUGGAGGUUGUGUUAGUAUGUCCAUGGGUAGUGUUAUGAGCCUGGUGAUAGUUUAACAAGGCUUUGGUGGAGGUUGUGUUAGUAUGUCCAUGGGUAGUGUUAUGAGCCUGGUGAUAGUUUGACAAGGCUUUGGUGGAGGUUGUGUUAGUAUGUCCAUGGGUAGUGUUAUGAGCCUGGUGAUAGUUUGACAAGGCUUUGGUGGAGGUUGUGUUAGUAUGUCCAUGGGUAGUGUUAUGAGCCUGGUGAUAGUUUGACAAGGCUUUGGUGGAGGUUGUGUUAGUGUGUCCAUGGGUAGUGUUAUGAGCCUGGUGAUAGUUUAACCCUUCUUCUGCACCAUGAACGUGAAAUAUUGUUGAGAGCCAAAGCGUCUGAGAAUUUGGGACAUAGUUAGUGCCAUAGUGGGGUGGCUGAACGGUGUAGUAGGCCGUACGGGGCUCGAACCAAGGUGCCAUUGCCAGUAAAGAGUGCCACUGUUCUCUAGCGGGUCAGAGGACGUGUCUCUUACGUGUCUCGCAUAGAUUUUCAAUACCGCAGAGAGAGAGAGAGAGAGAGAGAGAGAGAGAGAGAUUUUUAAAUAUUUUCAAUAAGUCAAUGUGUGUUUGCCUUUCUCCAUUCUGCGCCCGCCCACACACACACACACACACACACACACACACACACACACACACACACGCACACACACUAACAAGACAGGGAUAGGUGACAGCAAGUGGACAAAUCUACUCUCUCUCUCUCUCUCUCUCUCUCUCUCUCUCUCUCUCUCUCUCUCUCUCUCUCUCUCUCUCUCUCUCUCUCUCUCUCUCUCUCUCUCUCUCUCUCUCUCUCUCUCUCUCUCUCUCUCUCUCUCUCUCUCUCUCUCUCUCUCUCUCUCACACACACACAUCAUUAUUUUUUGAAACUAUAAAUUGUCAGAUACGAAUCGAAUUUAUUAAGAAGAAGAGGAAGAGGAGGAGGAGGAGGAGGAAAAAUAGAAAUAACAAUGACAGAGGAGGCAUGAGAGGAAGAGGAAGAAGGAGGAGGAGGAAGAAGAAGAAGAAGAGGAGGAGGAGGAAGAAGAAGAAGAAGAAGAGGAGGA